GAAAGUGAAACUCUGGAUAAGGGGGUGACUACCUUAUUCACUAUCAUUCCUGGCAAUUAAAGAAUGUUAACUCCAACUGAACACCAGAUGAAUUGGCCCUCAAUUAAACACAUCUGUCCAGAAAUAUAAAAUCACCCAAAACUAAAAAUUUACUAAAGUGAAGCAUGCUCCUUAGAAACCUUGCCAUAUGAUGGUACCAUAAACUUAUUAAGAUUUUAAAUCAGCACCUCAUAUGUAUAUUUAUAAAUAGCUCGCUUCUGUUAUCUUUUAAAGCUAUUCUGGAGGCUGAAGCAGGAGAAUCCUUUGAACCUGGGGGGCAGAGGUUGCAGUGAGCUGAGAUCACACCAUUUCACUCCAGCCUGGGCAAAAGAGCGAAACUCCGUCUCAAAAAAAAAAAAAAAAUUCCAACGAAGUCCAGGGUUUCACCAUCUUGGAUAGGCUGGAUCCUGACCUCAUGAUCCACCCACCUUAGCCUCCCAAAGUGCUGGGAUUACAGGUGUGAGCCACCACACCCAGCCAACCUAGUAUUAUUUUCUAAGCUGUGAGAUCCUGUCUCUACAAAAAACUGUUUUAAAAGUUAGCCAGGCAGGGUGGCAUGUACCUGGAGUCCCAGCUACUCAGGAGGCUGAGGGAGGAGGAUCCCUUGUGCCCAGGAGAUCAAGGCAUAGCCAACAUGCUAAUGAACUCUUUUCUCAGUUAAUUCCACUAAUUAGUUAUCUCUUCUUGUUCUGCCAGAAUCCCAACCCUUUUACAAUCUACUCAUCAAAUCCAUCAGGCCACAUAUUAUGCCUUCCUAGAGGAACACUUUUCGUGAUGACACUUUGUAAACAAGGCAAUCUGAUGCUGCCUGUUCUAUCUUCCCAGAUCUAGUUGAUAGUUCAAAACAUCAACAUUAACCACAAGUAAAAUAUGCUUAAAAAAUAAUCAGGAGACGAUCUCCUGCUCUAUCUGGAAAUUUCUCUAUUCAGCUAGUUCUGCGUUGACAGGUCAACAGAGAAUGGCACUAGUUAUUGCUACAAUCCUAAAAGGCAUUUCCCUACAGCUAAACCAUCAACCCUUUCCUAAAAUCCAUAUAAUCCAAAAUUUUUCUAGCAGAAUUUACUCUCCCUGCCCCUACCCCAGCAGCAUCUUCUGAUCAUUUUUCACCAUAAACUGAGGUUUCCUCAUAGUGAUGCCAAGUCAGGCAAACACAUUCCUUAAGCGUUCCACCUAACUCCCUUCUUCCUGGAAGUUACAUGUAAUAGCUGCCUUUAUUUACUUAUUUUUAAAACUCUUCAAGCACCAGGUACAGUGGUAAGUGCUUUUAAAGAACAUGUAUCUACUUCCAUCCUUAACACUGUAUGAGAUUGGGACUCACAUUCCCAUUUUACAGAGGAGAAAUGCAAAGGCUUAGUAACCUGCCCAAGGUCAUACAGGGCAGAGAUUGGAAUCCAAGUCUGACCUCUGUGUCCUCCGCUCUUAACCUUCAUGCUGUCUUUCCUUCUGAUCUCUUCCUGUCCUAACUGGUGCCCUGUGGUCUUAUAAAAGACUAUGCUUGGGGCAGGCGGGGGAGGGGUGGGAGGGUCAGUUUCUCCAGAGACCGCCUUUCCUUUAAAGGAUAAGACUUUGAAAAGAAGGAGUACCCAUUACAUCUUUCCUCCAUGCUCCCCCUUCUCACCUGGUACCAUUUCCCAAAGGCCCCAAUCAUAUCCCCUUCUCUACGGACAAUUUAAACUUCUCCUUUGUCCGCAGAGCAGGCACUAUCCAAUACUGAAGAACCACACCAUCUACCCUCAAGGCUAGGAGAGGGCAGAAGUGGAAGAAAGAACACAGACAGCACCCCUUCCCCAGGUCUUCAGUUGAGAAAGAAGCUGUGGCUGAAAGUCUGGGGGGCUGGGGGCAAAGGUGACAAGGAUGUGCCCUUGUGGGUACGCGAGGUGGGGGGGGGGGAGAUGGGGAAGAGGCAUGGGACGCUCAGGGGAUUAGCAGGAGAUUGAAUGGGGGUGGACCUCUGUAAGGGGAAGGGGGGUGCCACCGGCAGGCAGAGAGAUCAGGCCACUGAAGAGGUGAACGUGAGUUAGGGAGGAGGACCUGGAGGUGGAUGUAAUAGGGGAAGUAGAGGAAGAAAGGGGAGGGAGGGGGCUCACGGGAGCAGGAAACGAUGGAGUCAUGGGGAGUGGGGGAGGAUGGAUGGGAGCUAGAAGGUGGGGCGGCCUGGGACCCGGGCACAUGGGCUCGGCGAAGAGCGGGCGCGCCGCGGGGGACUGGGGUGCGGGGAAUGCCGGGAAUGGGGGUUCGAGGAGACCCCGGGGAAGGGAAGGGGAAGCGGGAGUUCUCGAGCAGAGGAGCGGGAAGUGGGAGUUCCAGCGAGGCAAGAGCGGGAAGGGGGUUCCGGAGCAAGGGGCGGGCGUGAAGGUACAGUCGGGUUCGCGAGGGUGGCGUUAGGAGGGGCGGGGUGGGCCGGAGGCUGGCGCGGGAGAGGGAUCCCGGGCGCCUGUUGGGGUGCGGAGGGCAGGAAUGUCCUGGCGUCCCCGAGAGCCGGGCCAGGACUCCGGAGUCUUCGGAGGACCAGGCUCAGGGCCGCCUCCCGGCCGGGGCCCCUUAGGGAGGGGCGGGGAUUCCCCGGGUCCCUCAAGGCCAGAGCGGCAGCCGCCGCGGUCCCAAGCCCCCUUCCUACCUAUGCCGGGCGCCACAUAGACGAAGUACAGCAGCGAGGACGAGAGAGAAAAGAAGAAGAGCGCGGCGAGCAGCGAGCGGCGCGGCAGCCGCAGCAGCCCCCGGCGGGCGCGCAUGCUGCAGCCAGGCGGCCGCUAGAGAGCCAGGCCGGGCCUGCUCCCGCAGCUCCCCGUCCGCCGCCUCCUGGGCCGCCGCCGCCACCGCCUGGGCCUCGGCCACCGCCUCCCGGGCCUCGCGGGCCGCCACUCGCCGCCGCCGCCGCCUCGCCGCUCCCAGCCGCCGGCCGUCGCGGGCCGGGCC
rnacentral:lncRNA from 1 species